rnacentral:piRNA from 1 species
UAAAGGACUCUCCUACCUGGCCCACCUA